CAUUUUCUGCCACCGAAUACAUUAGCAUGGGAUAAUGGAAUAGGACCCUGUCCUCCUAUUUUCAGUUGGUUUGCCGCGAGGACCAGGGUAAUGAUUAAUAGGGAUAGUUGGGGGCAUUAAUAUUUAAUUGUCAGAGGUGAAAUUCUUGGAUUUAUGAAAGAUUAACUUCUGCGAAAGCAUCUGCCAAGGAUGUUUUCAUUAAUCAAGAACGAAAGUUAGGGGAUCGAAGACGAUCAGAUACCGUCGUAGUCUUAACCAUAAACGAUGCCGACCAGCGAUUAGGAGACGUUGAAUACAAAACACCACCAUGCGCAUUGCGGUCGUCUUUGGUGUCGCUCACAAGGCGGCACCGGGGCGGCUUAGCUCGCAUGGCACCGGUGAAUGACUCCCUAGCAG
rnacentral:rRNA from 1 species